GAAACUGUGAAAUGAAGCUGGCGUAUGGUGCCAAAGGGAUUAGUCAAAAAGCUACAAUACCCUGCACCCACUAUCCCUCUAAACAAAGGAAAAGCCAUGAACUCCAAAGGUAAAGAAUCUUUUACACAGUUUUCUUUAAAUAAUUUCUUGAUAACCCACAAUCCCAAUUCUCAUUUUCAUUUGCUAUAUUGAUUUCUUGUUUUGAUUGUUGAAGAUGGAAAGCUCUAAAUCAAAGACACAGGUUAUCAAGCCAUUGUUCUUGAAAGCUGGGAUACCUUUGGCUCUUUCUGUGGCUGGUUUUAUUUAUGCUAAGAUCAUAUCAAGAAGAAAUAUAAUUUCAGAUAAUUCUUCUUCUUUGGAAACCAAGGUGGGUAAGGGUUCCCUAGAAACCAUUGAUUCUCAUGAGGUGUUUCUUAAUAAUUCUGUGAAAAAUGAUGAAGAGCAUAUGAUCAUAAGUUCCCAAGUUUUGAGCUCAAUAGAAAGUUCAGAUUUCACUCAUGAUGAGUCUAGUUUUGAAGGAGAGCUAUUAGGACUCAGAAGCAGAAUUGAAGAGCUGCAAAAGAGGGUUUUGGCCCUGGAAACACAGUUUCUUCAAUAUCAUGCCAUGAAAGAGGAAGAAUCUUUGCUAAUGGAGAUUAAGAAUAAGUUGGUAUUGGAGGCUGCCCAUGUUGAGUUCUUGGAUAAGGAGAUUUCUUCAAUGGAAGCUGAGAAAGAAAGAUUUGAGAAUCUGGUGGUGGAGUAUCUAAGAGUUCUUGAACAGCUUGAAUUCGCAAAGCUGGAAAAUGGGCUUCUUCGAAGGAAGGUAAGGAGAAUUUCCAGGAAAAUGAAAGAGCAAUCACGGGUCGUAACAGAAAAGAACUUGAAGAUUGAAGCAGCAGAAGCAGAAAUUUUGAGAUGCUAUGAUGCAUUAGAAACAAGGUCUAGCGUUAUCAAGAAAAUGGAGGAUGAAGUUAGAGAAUUGCAGACCAUUGUUAAUCAACUGCAGGAGGAGAAAAAUGAACUUCUGAUAAAGCUAAAUCCAGAAGAAAAUUCAGCCUCAUCAGCAUCAAAGAUUGAUGCAGAAGUUGUGACAAUGGAAGAUUAUAAUCAGCUUGUUCAUGAGCUAGAACAACUACGAAAAGAUAGAGCAACUGAAAUUGCAGAACUUACUUACUUGAGAUGGACUAAUGCUUGCUUAAGGCAUGAAUUGAUGAGAAUUCAUGAACAAGAGCAAGAAAUUGAGCAGAAGAAAGAACAUUUGGAUGCAGGUGGAGAGAUUAGAGAUUGUGGAUUGGUACAGCAACAAGACAGAUCAGUUUUGAACAUUAAUGAACCUUGCAUAGGUGUGGCAAGCAGUAGCCCUGAUCAGGGUGGUUCAAAAAGGAAAAAGUUGCUUCACAAGCUUAAGAAAUGGGUAGAAAGGAGUGACCACAUGAAAUCAAAGCUGGAAGAGAAAGAAAAGCAAGAAAUCAAGUGCUUGGGCAGGCUUUCUGUUUCAGAAGAGGCAGAGGAAGAUCAUAUAAUUCAUGCAAGAAGGUCUUGUUCUAGUGCAUAAUCAAAAAAUGCCCUCUUAAACAAUAAUCUAGUGUAACACAAAAAUCAUUAGCAAAUACCAACAGUUGUAUUGCAUAUCAGCUAUUAUAUAUAUAUAUAUAUA
rnacentral:misc_RNA from 1 species